rnacentral:rRNA from 1 species
AGAACGAACGCUGGCGGCAUGCCUAACACAUGCAAGUCGAACGCUUUUGGGGCUUCGGUCCCAAAGGAGUGGCGCACGGGUGAGUAGCGCGUGGGAACCUGCCCUGUUGUGGGGGAUAACCGAGGGAAACUUCGGCUAAUACCGCAUAAGCCGGUUGUCUUGAAGGAGAUGGCCGGGAAAGAUUUAUCGCGACAGGAGGGGCCCGCGUCGGAUUAGCUAGUUGGUGGGGUAACGGCCCACCAAGGCGGUGAUCCGUAGCUGGUCUGAGAGGAUGAUCAGCCACACUGGGACUGAGACACGGCCCAGACUCCUACGGGAGGCAGCAGUGGGGAAUAUUGGACAAUGGGCGCAAGCCUGAUCCAGCAAUGCCGCGUGAGUGAUGAAGGCCUUAGGGUUGUAAAGCUCUUUCGCCCGCGACGAUGAUGACGGUAGCGGGAGAGAAGCCCGGCUAACUUCGUGCCAGCAGCCGC